rnacentral:lncRNA from 13 species
UGGAUUAUAGAGAUUGAUAUUUCGUUUCCUAGCUAUUUAAACUGGUACAACACUUCAACAGCAUUUUCAUUUGUAGUUUCUUUUUCUAUAUUUAUUGUACUCUUAAGUUCUGGGGUACAUGUGUAGAUUGUGCAGGUUUGUUACAUAGGUUUAACGUGCCAUGGUGGUUUUCAAUCAUUUGUAAUUUCAAAAUCUGACUUUUUGAAAUCUGUAAUUUCAAAAUUCAAUAGCUUUUGGAUUUUGAAGAUCUCCUAAUGUCUACAUGCAACAUAUUCAAUUCCUUUUCUUUCAUCUCUCAAUGGUUGAUCUCAACCAUUGAGAAGGGAGAGAAUAUUUUCCUUUCCUUGUAGGGUUUUUCCUUCCUCAUGUGGUUGAGAUUAUGUAAUGGACAGAGAAGAAACAGACAUACCCUACCCUCCAUGAGCCCAUAGCCUCUUCAGGAAGGCCCCCCCAGCCAUGAAGCUCCUUCAGCAUGAGGAGCACCAGAAAGUUCUUUUUCCUAGAAUAAUCUAGUUUGUCUGGAAGUGAACUGCACUUAAGACAUUGAUAUUGCUGCCAAGGAAAAAGGAUUCCAUGCUGAACUAAGGAAUAAUAACAACGGAGGGACAGCGUGAUAAACCAUCGACUGACCGCAAAAUGAAGCCUGUUUAUUUCCUGCAGGUUUUUUCCAUGGCUGUCGUCAGUUUUCCUUUACCGUGACUUUGCUGGGGUGGUUGUGGGAGUCAUGUGAACAGAAGAAGGAAUACUCUGAAGAAGACAACUUAUAUAAGCCAGAGAUAUCCCAAGUGUGCCACCAAGAUUUGCCCUUUUUGAGAGAGAGGAGAAUUUAAUAUAGAGAGAUCUGAAAGAAAAAAUAAGUAAACCUAGUACAGCUACUAUGGAGAACAGAAUGGAGAUUUCCCGAAAACAACACAAGAAGAACUCCCAUAUGAUCCAGCAAUCUCACUACUGGGCAUGUAUCUAAAGGAAGGGAAAUUAUUUCAUGGAAGAGACAUCUACACCCCACGUUUAUAGCAGCACUAUUCACAAUAGCCAUGAUAUGGGAUCCACCUACGUGUUCAACAACAGAUAGAUAGAUAAAGAAAAGGUAGUAUAUAUUAUACACAAUGGAAUACUAUUCUGGCAUUAAAAAAUAUAAGAUCCUGUCAUUUGUGGCAACAUAGUUAGAACCAGAGGAUAUUAUGUUAAGUGAAAUAAAUCAGACACGGGAAGUGAAACA